GGAGUUCCUGUCGUGGCUCAGCAGGUUAAGAACCCGACAUAGCAUCUGUGAGGAUUCAGCUUCGAUCUCCGGCCUUGCUCAGUGGAUUAGGGACCUGGUGUAGCCACAAACUGCAGAGUAGGUCUCAACUGAGGCUCAGAUCCCUCUAUCCUGCAGGUGCAGCCGGGAAAAAAAAAAAAAAAAAAAAAAAGAGAGAGAGAGAGAGGGGAAGAAUGGCUGGCCCUGUGAUAGACAGAUAAAAUAGGCCAUGUCCUUUUCAGGGCCCAAAAGUCCUUGUUGCUGCAGUAAAACCGAUGAGGACAGGCGGGGAGACCCACCUACCCUGACCAGAUUCUCAAAUCAAUGGUAUCUGUUAAUUUGCUCAAGAAAUUGGAGUUGAGUUCUCAUUCUGCAUCAGGUCCUGAGUUAGGACCUGGGGAGAGGGAGAUGGAUAACACGGUGGCCCUCCCUGCUGCCACAGGGAAGGCGCACAAGGACGAUGACAAGGUGAAAGGUGGGGCCAUUCAGAAGUGUAAGAUGUUGAGUUCCCGCGGUAAGUAAUCCGACUAGUAUCCACGAGGAUGCAAGUUCAAUCCCUGGCCUCGCUUAGGGGUCGAGGAUCCAGCGUUGCCGUGAGCUGUGGUGUGGGUCACAGAUGCAGCUCGGAUCCAGCGUUGCCAUAGCUAUACUGUAGGCCGGGGCAGCUGCAGCCCUGAUCCGACCCCCUCACCUGGGAACUUCCAUAUACUGCACCUGUGGCCCUAAAAGGCAAAAUAAAUAAAAUAAAAAUUUUUUAAAGUGUAGGAUGGUCGCCCUGGAAGGGCAUGGCGGGAGUUGGAAACCUGGACUCAGGGAGUGGGGAGGACUUGACAGAAAAAGGGAUGUGUGACAGCACUUGUCACCUUCUAACAUAGCAUAAAAGUUUCUUAAUUUAUCGUGUCUCGUAGCUACUGUUUCUCCCCCAGCUAGGAUGUACGCAGAGGUUUCCAUCUAUUUCUUGGUAUUCCAAAAGCCUAGACCCAUGCCUGGAAGACAACUUAUGAGCAAUUGAUGUUGAACCACAAAGGAAAAUUGUUUUGGUUAAAAAAAGGGUGGAGGGGGGAAUGUGUGAGCUGAGAUCUGAAGGAUGAUUGGGAAUUAGAUGAGUGGACGGGAAGGGGGUGGUGAGUGUUUUAGACAGAAAGAAUGUAUGUGUGAGUGUCCUGGGACAGAGAGAGCAUAUAGCACAAACAGAAUAGAAAUAAUUCCACUUGGCUGCAAGGAGGGAAGUUGAGAGAAAUGAGAUAGGUCGGCAAGGGCCAUUUCUUGAACAUGAAACUUUACCCUAACAGCAAAGAGGAACUAUUGAAAGUUUUUGAAAAAAUGCUUUUUGGUUCUGAUUUCACAUACCACGAAAAUUUAUAAUUGAGAAUAAAAGCGCCCGGUAGCACUGCUUUCACCCCAACCCCUGUAAGAGUUUGGUGCAUAUUCACUCUGUUUCGAAGUCAUUAUUAUUAUUAAUUACAGUGCUGUCCUAUGAUUUUCUUUUUCCCCUUAGGAAUAUAUGGACAUCGUUCUGUUUUUUUGCUUUUUUUUUUUUUUUUUUUUUUGCUUUUUAGGGCCAUACUUACGGCAUAUAGAGCCUUGCAGGCUAGGGGUCAAACCGGAGCCGUAGCCACUGGCCUGCACCACAGCCACAGCACUGCCAGAUCUGAGCUGCAUCUGCAACCUACACCACAGCUCACCCCAACGCCGGAUCCUUAACCCACCGAGCAAGUCCAGGGAUCGAACCUGCAUCCUCAUGGAUACUAGUCAAAUUCAGUUCUGCUGAGCCACAACAGGAACUCCUCUACCUGCUCGUUUUUAAUGACUGCUAAUACUCCAUUAUCUAACACUGUUUCGUGCUUUUUUUAAAUGGUGGUUUAUAUAUAUAUAAUUUUCAUUUUCACCAUUUUAAAACUUUGAAGUUAGUGGUGGUAAAAUACACAUAACAUACAAGUUAACCAUCAUAAUUAUGCUCACGUGCAUAGUGGCAUAAAGUACAUUCACACUGCUGUGCAGCAGCACCAGCAUCCACCCCCAGAGGUGUUUCGUCUUACCAAACUAAAACAAACUCAUUCUACUUUGUCUGUGAAUUUGACGACUCCAGGUACUUUAUAUAAGUGAAUCAUAUCCGCAGUUGGCUGUUUUUGUUUUGUUUUUGUUUUUUUCAACCAUUCAUGUAGAGAUGGGCUGUUGGUUUGUUUCCCCUUUUUGGGGUGGGGGAGGGACUGUCACAAUGCUGCAGGGACAGUCUUAUCUCUGUGUACUUAGAGAAUACAUCUUAGACAUACUGGGUUUCUCUAAGCCUAUAAACAUUUGUUAUGAACCUUAAUGUCUGUGCCAUGCUCUGUCCCACUAACAGUGGAUCAAAGCACCCAUCAAAGCAUCAAAGCUCCACACCUUUGCCAAUACUGGCUAUUAAAAUUCUUUUUAAGAACAGACCUCAUUGAAUGUGUGAUAUGAAAAAAAUGUGUUCUUGCAGACAUGGACAACAUUUCACAAGGAUAUAUAAUAUAUAAAUCAGGGAUUCCUUGUGAUGGCUGUGCAGCCGCUCUUACAACCCCGUCCACAUUCUCAUUUGCAGGCACAAACCAAUUUCGUGAACUUUUUUCCCUUGAUGACAAAGGCUUUGGAAAAAUUUGUGGAGGGCACACCUAUAAAGGCCCUUAUUAAUUUAAUUUUUGUGCCUAGGCGGCUCCUGCACAUGGUUCAGCAUCUUGCUUUGGAAGACAAUUCAGGAAGUAGAAUCCACAGGACUUGAUGGUUGAGGGCAAGGAAGAAGGCAUCGGGAGGACUAUGUGGACUUGUAGAUGGUGUCCAGAUAUCCAGCUGGACAAAGAGACAGCAGGAUUACGCAGAGGUGGAAGAAACACAAAACAAAAGGUAUAGAUCCUGGGGAGCGGGGGUUGGAGUGAACCAAGACUACUGCGCCUGCGGGUCAUGUGGGUAGCAUCUCGUCUACAUGCAGCUGAUGGAUUCACCCUCGGGUAACACCUUUCUCCUCCUAUUUUUGUGCCUACUCUCUAGGGGUCUCCUUUUGGCCUUCAGGGUACCUGGGAAGCUAGAUUAGUGAUCAGUACGUGGCAAGAUAAACAGAGAACAUCUCAAAGGAGUUAGAUGACCCUGUGAGGCAUUUUCUUCUGACUGUGGAGAAGCCAGUGUGGUAGCCAAGGAGCAAUGGCCAGGCUCUGGGCACUGCUAAUCACCUUACAUUGCAUUUUCAUUCUCCAUCCCUUUUGAAAAGGAUAACUACAAACAACUAAAGCAUGUUGAGUACUUUCCAUAUGCUAGGCACUGUAAUAAGCAUUGUUCAUAAAUUAUGAUGUUUACUUUUCACAACAAUAAAGAAAGUCUAAUCAAGAAAUCCAGGAGUUCCCUGGUGGCCUAGUGGUUAAGGAGUCACUGCUGUGGCACAGGUUCAAUCCCCAGCCCAAGAACAUCUGCAUGCUGUAGGCAUAAG
rnacentral:lncRNA from 9 species